rnacentral:rRNA from 1 species
AGAGCGAACGCUGGCGGCAGGCUUAACACAUGCAAGUCGAGCGGGCGUAGCAAUACGUCAGCGGCAGACGGGUGAGUAACGCGUGGGAACGUACCUUUUGGUUCGGAACAACCCAGGGAAACUUGGGCUAAUACCGGAUAAGCCCUUACGGGGAAAGAUUUAUCGCCGAAAGAUCGGCCCGCGUCUGAUUAGCUAGUUGGUGGGGUAAUGGCCCACCAAGGCGACGAUCAGUAGCUGGUCUGAGAGGAUGAUCAGCCACAUUGGGACUGAGACACGGCCCAAACUCCUACGGGAGGCAGCAGUGGGGAAUAUUGGACAAUGGGCGCAAGCCUGAUCCAGCCAUGCCGCGUGAGUGAUGAAGGCCCUAGGGUUGUAAAGCUCUUUUGUGCGGGAAGAUAAUGACGGUACCGCAAGAUAAGCCCCGGCUAACUUCGCGCCAGCAGCCGC